CCUACAGGUGGCAGCAGUGAGGAAUAUUGGUCAAUGGGCGAGAGCCUGAACCAGCCAAGUCGCGUGAGGGAGUACUGCCCUAUGGGUUGUAAACCUCUUUUGUCGGGGGGCAAAAGCCGGACGUGUCCGGCUGUGAGAGUACCCGAAGAAAAAGCAUCGGCGAACUCCGUGCCCGCAGCCGCGGUAAUACGUCGGAGGCGGACGUUAACCUGAUUUAUUGGGGUAAAAGGGGUCGCAGGCGGAAUUUUAAGCAAGCGUGCAAAUCGUGGGGCUCAACCCCAUCGAGCCGUUGAAACUGGGGAUCUAGAGUGUGCGAGAGGUAUGCGGAAUGCGUGGUGUAGCGGUGAAAUGCAUAGAUAUCACGCAGAACCCCGAUUGCGAAGGCAGCAUACCGGUGCACAACUGACGCUCAGGCACGAAAGCGUGGGUAUCGAACAGGAUUAGAUACCCUGGUAGUC
rnacentral:rRNA from 1 species